UACGUAGGGGGCAAGCGUUUGUCCGGAUUUAUUGGGCGUAAAGAGCGUGUAGGCGGCCUGAAAGGUCAGCUGUGAAACUCGAGGCUCAACCUCGAGACGUCGGUUGAAACCAUCUGGCUAGAGUCCGGAAGAGGAGUGUGGAAUUCCCGGUGUAGCGGUGAAAUGCGCAGAUAUCGGGAGGAACACCGGUGGCGAAGGCGGUUCUCUGGGCCUUACCUGGACGCUGAGGAGCGAAAGCGUGGGGAGCGAAACAG
rnacentral:rRNA from 1 species